rnacentral:rRNA from 1 species
UACGAAGGGGGCUAGCGUUGUUCGGAAUCACUGGGCGUAAAGCGCACGUAGGCGGAUGUGCCAGUCAGGGGUGAAAUCCCGGAGCUCAACUUCGGAACUGCCUCUGAUACAGCACGUCUUGAGUCCGGAAGAGGUGGGUGGAAUUCCUAGUGUAGAGGUGAAAUUCGUAGAUAUUAGGAAGAACACCGGUGGCGAAGGCGGCCCACUGGAUCGGUACUGACGCUGAGGUGCGAAAGCGUGGGGAGCAAACAGG